CCCUUAGAUGUCCGGGGCCGCACGCGCGCUACACUGAAGGAAUCAGCGUGGCUUUCUCCCUGACCCGAAAGGGUUGGGAAACCCGUUGAAUCUCCUUCGUGAUAGGGAUUGGGGCUUGAAAUUGUUCCCCAUGAACGAGGAAUUCCCAGUAAGCGCGAGUCAUAAGCUCGCGUUGAUUACGUCCCUGCCCUUUGUACACACCGCCCGUCGCUACUACCGAUUGAAUGGUCCGGUGAAGCCUCGGGAUUGUGGUUAGUUUCCUUCAUUGGAAGUUAGCCGCGAGAACUUGUCUAAACCUUAUCAUUUAGAGGAAGGUGAAGUCGUAACA
rnacentral:rRNA from 1 species